UGACAGCCAUGUUUUAGCCUCUGUCCUUUGGUGUGAGAUAAGGAUACAUACAUACGGAGAAGUUGUUCAAGAUUAUAGCCAAAACAGAGUUCCAAUUCUGUGUGAUGCAUUGCUUGUGUGAAACACAGCAAGGACCCUCGGUCGGGUUUCUAUUUAUUUUCACUGCGAGCUGAAAGAAAAUUGCACCAUGUGCACCGGCUUCGCUGUCCGAGCACGUGGGGUGGCAAGGACAUAAGAAAUGGAGGCUGACCAAAUGGGGGUUACUUGAUAAUCGGUUCAUACAACCCGGCUGAUUCUGAAGAACAAAGGAACAAUCAUGAGCAUCAAGAUGGAUGCCGAGUGGCUGCUGGUUAAGUCAGUAGUUAUAAGGUGAUGGCACCUGUUCGGUGAUGUAGCCAUAGACGGAAUGUCUUGCUUCAGUUUCUCCUUGUAGAUCAUCUGCUCUUGUCCAUGUGGAAGUUUAGGUAGUGAACUCUGAAUCAAGGCUAAAGCUUCACUGAUUGUCAUUCUGGUUAUAUACAAACUAGAGGGCUGUUUCACAAAACCAGGAUAGCAGAUUAAGCUGGGAUUUUCUGGAUAUCCUGUCUUAAUUAAGCCUCAAUUCAAUGUUACAAAAGAAAUAACACAUAAGUUACCAUGGUGACUUAUUUUGUGAAGCCAGCCUGCUCCAGACCAGGCUAGCAGCCAUGCUUAGUUAAGCCUGGAACCUUAUCUGUUCAGUCAGCAGUCACAGCAAUCAGAAACCGAGUUUUGUCCGUGAUUCUGUUUUCUUAUCUGUAAGUAUUGUUUGUUUUUUUUGUUUGUUUGUUUGUUUGUUUGUUUUUUAAUCACCCUGCAUUAAAACACCUCCAAUUAAUUUUGGUAGUCAGUCAGGUACUAUUACUAUUUUUACAGUAUACCAUUAGAAAACACAAUUAUCAAUUUUAAAAUGACCCAUACGGACUCUGCAUGGGUCAAACCGUGUUUCUGAAGAAACGGUUUCUAAAGACCGCUGUUCUAUACUAAACAAAAAUAUAAACGUCCCAUGUCAAAUAUUGCCAUGUGGAGUUAACAACUGUAAAUGAGCAUUUGUUGAUAUUUUAUUGUACAAAAGUAAUAUUUCUCCUGAUUUGUGUGUAAUUUGUAAUCCAACUUUCUGUCAGUGAGCAUUACCCAAUGCAUGGGUGGGGCAUGUCCAGUGAGUGAUCAGACAAAAUGAGCAACAGCUGGACAAUCCUUGGACUGGGGACAAUAAAAGGCCACCCCAAAAUGUAAAAUUUUGUCACAAGUCAUAAUGCCUGAGAUGUCUCAAGUUAUGCGGGAGCAUGCCAUUGGCAUGUUGGAUGUAGGGAGGGAUGUCCACCAGAGCAGUAGCUGCACAGCUCAAUGUCCAUUAUCGAGCUAUAGGACUUUAAAGUGUUCAUUUCCAACAAACUGGCAGUACUGCAAAUCGACCUCAUGCGAUUUGCAUGAGGUCGGCCAUGUGUGACCACUCAAAGCAAAAGCAUCAGAACUUAAAGGGGCAGUUAACUACAGGUAAAAUUAAAGAUGAAAAUUCACAGAUAUUGCACAUUGUUAUAUUUCAUUUUGGUCUGUAUAAAUAUCUAGAAUGUGGAACAAAACAGCAACAUGAAGGAAUUCGCUGUCAGUUGAACAUGUUUAUAAUAUUGACUUCCACUAUUAGGUUAUAGUUUUUUAUAUGUGAAAAUCUCAUGUAUGAUUAUGUUUAGUUAAGAAUAGUUUGGAAAUGUAUAUUUUUAAGCUAAUUACGUAUUCAAUUUAUCUAUCGUUUGCUCUUGUAGCGGAAUUUUUUCUUUCUUUUGUAUGAUGUGCUUCAAUUCCUCAUAAACCUCAAUAAAAAGAUGCAGUUUAUUUGGUGUGAGGUAUGGCAUACGGAGUUUAUUUAGUGUAACAUUAGUGAAUCUGUGGUUGAUUUCAUUGGUCUCUUGAAGAAAUCCAUUGACGCACAAUCCGUGAAGCAACACAACUGUUUUUCAGUGUAUGUUGAUUGCAUGUCAAAUAAACAAUUUAAAUGUCCACAC